UACGAAGGGGGCUAGCGUUGUUCGGAAUUACUGGGCGUAAAGCGCGCGCAGGUGGUCUUUCAAGUCAGUGGUGAAAGCCCGGAGCUCAACUCCGGAAAUGCCAUUGAAACUGUAAGACUUGAGGAUGAGAGAGGUGAGUGGAAUUUCCAGUGUAGAGGUGAAAUUCGUAGAUAUUGGGAAGAACACCGGUGGCGAAGGCGGCUCACUGGCUCAUAUCUGACGCUCAGGCGCGACAGCGUGGGGAGCAAACAGG
rnacentral:rRNA from 1 species